rnacentral:lncRNA from 1 species
AUAUCUCAAUUCAAUCUUAAUUUAAUCCUAGUUAAAAUCCUAUUAGACUUCAUUCAAACUUUAGGCCAAAACUAAUUAAAUCUUAAACCCUAAACAAAUCCUAAUAAAAUCCUAAAUCCUAAAUCCUAAAUCAAAUCCUAAAUCCUAAACCAAAUCCUAAACUCUAAACCAAAUCCUAAACUUUAAACCAAAUCCUAAAUCCUAAAUCAAACCUUAACCAAAUCCUAAUCCUAAAUCAAAUCUUAACCAAACUCUAAAUCCUAAAUCAAUCCCUAAUCAAAUCCUAGUAAUUUCUACAACAGUUUUAAACCUCAAUAACUAAUAAAUAAAUCAUUGAACUUAACUCAAAUUUUGCACACUUCUUAAAAGCUAAUUUGAAAACAAGCAUAAAAAAUUUUAAAAGGAUCGAAAUUACCAAAUAGACAAUAACCUCAAAAAUGUGCUCGGAUAUUGGCCAGUCUCCUUCUCCAACCUUGAUGCCAAUCUCCUAGAGCCUAUAUCUCUCCUUUUCACCAUUCGAUUGAUUUCAAAAUUCUCAUACACAUAGAAAAAUAAGUCUAAUAUCCUUUCGCAUAAGUUUCACUCC